UAAUACGGAGGAUCCGAGCGUUAUCCGGAUUUAUUGGGUUUAAAGGGUGCGCAGGCGGACUGGUAAGUCAGGGGUGAAAAUCUACGGCUCAACUGUAGACGUGCCUUUGAUACUGCCGGACUAGAGUUAAGAUGGAGUGGGCGGAAUGUGUUGUGUAGCGGUGAAAUGCUUAGAUAUAACACAGAACACCGAUCGCGAAGGCAGCUCACUAAACUUUGACUGACGCUCAUGCACGAAAGCGUGGGGAUCAAACAGGAUUAGAUACCCUGGUAGUCCACGCUGUAAACGAUGAUCACUCGCUGUUGGCGAUAUACCGUCAGUGGCUAAGCGAAAGUGAUAAGUGAUCCACCUGGGGAGUACGACCGCAAGGUUGAAACUCAAAGGAAUUGACGG
rnacentral:rRNA from 1 species